CCGCGGUAAUACGUAGGGUGCGAGCGUUAAUCGGAAUUACUGGGCGUAAAGCGUGCGCAGGCGGUUGUGUAAGACAGGUGUGAAAUCCCCGGGCUUAACCUGGGAACUGCGCUUGUGACUGCACAGCUAGAGUACGGCAGAGGGGGGUAGAAUUCCACGUGUAGCAGUGAAAUGCGUAGAGAUGUGGAGGAAUACCGAUGGCGAAGGCAGCCCCUGGGCCUGUACUGACGCUCAUGCACGAAAGCGUGGG
rnacentral:rRNA from 1 species